UCGUCAGUUCGUACUGUGAAGCAUCCUGUUAAGUCAGGCAACGAGCGAGACCCACGCCAACAGUUGCCAGCAUGUCCUCCGGGAUGAUGGGGACACUGUUGGGACCGCCUCUGCUAAAGAGGAGGAAGGAAUGGGCAACGGUAGGUCAGCAUGCCCCGAAUUAUCCGGGCUACACGCGGGCUACAAUGGUCAGGACAAUGGGUAUCGACACCGAGAGGUGGAGGCAAUCUCCUAAACCUGUCCUUAGUUCGGAUUGUGGGCUGCAACUCGCCCACAUGAAGCUGGAAUCCGUAGUAAUCGCGUUUCAAAAUAGCGCGGUGAAUAUGCCCCUGCUCCUU
rnacentral:rRNA from 1 species